rnacentral:rRNA from 1 species
CAUUCGGAAACGGAUGCUAAUACCGCAUAUCUUCUUGAACCUCCUGGUUCUUGAAUGAAAGACGGCUUCGGCUGUCGCUCCUAGAUGAUCCCGCGGCGUAUUAGUUAGUUGGUGAGGUAAUGGCUCACCAAGGCAACGAUACGUAGCCGACCUGAGAGGGUGAUCGGCCACACUGGGACUGAGACACGGCCCAG